rnacentral:rRNA from 1 species
GACGAACGCUGGCGGCGUGCCUAAUACAUGCAAGUAGAACGCUGAGGGAGGAGCUUGCUUCUCUGGAUGAGUUGCGGACGGGUGAGUAACGCGUAGGUACCCUGACUGGUAGCGGGGGGUAACUGUUGGUAACGAUAGCUAAUACCACAUAAGAGUACAUGUUGCAUGUCAUUUCCUUAAAAUGUACAAUUACGUCAAUACCAACUGGACCUGCGUUGUAUUAGCUAGUUGGUGGGGUAACGGCUGACCAAGGCGACGAUACAUAGCCGACCUGAGAGGGUGAUCGGCCACACUGGGACUGAGACACGGCCCAGACUCCUACGGGAGGCAGCAGUAGGGAAUCUUCGGCAAUGGACGGAAGUCUGACCGAGCAACGCCGCGUGAGUGAAGAAGGGUGUCGGAUCGUAAAGCUCUGUUGUAAGAGAAGAACGAGUGUGAGAGUGGAAAGUUCACACUGUGACGGUAUCUUACCAGAAAGGGACGGCUAACUACGUG